rnacentral:rRNA from 1 species
CCUACGGGUGGCUGCAGUGAGGAAUAUUGGUCAAUGGGCGCGAGCCUGAACCAGCCAAGUAGCGUGAAGGAUGACUGCCCUACGGGUUGUAACCUUCUUUUAUAAAGGAAUAAAGUGAGGCACGUGUGCCUUUUUGUAUGUCCUUUAUGAAUAAAGAUAGGCUAACUCCGUGCCAGCAGCCGCUGUAAUACGGAGGAUCCGAGCGUUAUCCGGAUUUAUUGGGUUUAAGGGGAGCGUAGAUGGGUUGUUAAGUCAGUUGUGAACGUUUGCGGCUCAACCGUAAAAUUGCAAUUGAUACUGGCAGUCUUGACUACAGUUGAGGUAGGCGGAAUUCGUGGUGUAGCGGUGAAAUGCUUAGAUAUCACGAAGAACUCCGAUUGCGAAGGCAGCUUACUAAACUGCCACUGACAUUGAUGCUCGAAAGUGUGGGUAUCAAACAGGAUUAGAUACCCCUGUAGUC